rnacentral:rRNA from 1 species
AUUGAACGCUGGCGGCAUGCCUUACACAUGCAAGUCGAACGGCAGCACGGGAGCAAUCCUGGUGGCGAGUGGCGAACGGGUGAGUAAUAUAUCGGAACGUGCCCGGUCGUGGGGAUAACGUAGCGAAAGCUACGCUAAUACCGCAUACGAUCUACGGAUGAAAGCGGGGGAUCGCAAGACCUCGCGCGAUUGGAGCGGCCGAUAUCAGAUUAGGUAGUUGGUGAGGUAAAGGCUCACCAAGCCGACGAUCUGUAGCUGGUCUGAGAGGACGACC